GUGCUUCCGUCGGCAGCAUGUAUACUAAAAUUGGAACGAUACAGAGAAGAUUAUCAUGGCCCCUGCACAAGGAUGACACGCAAAUUUGUGAAGUAUUCCGUAUUUUA